GUACGUAUAUUAACGGUAUCUGCAACUAGAUAUUAGACCGUGAUUGGUGUCGUGCCAUUUACGCGCAUGUGCACAUGCUCCGAAAAACAUUAAUCGAUGGCGGAAGGCAACAAUUUCAGUUCAUGAAAAAUAUGUUAAUUAAGCGCUAAUUUAUGGGCAUCUGCACAAAAUACUCAAGAAAUAAUGACAGAUCGUAACAAAUGUGUUUCAAGGGUUUCAAGUGGUAGAUCAGCGCGACAAUUUCACUGAAUGCUGAUACAGCCCAAAAGUUCAAAGAUUUGCAGCUUGUGCCAGGAGAGUCCCAGAAGUGUCAAAUAAAUUUCGGGAAUAAAGUGACACUAAAUGAAAACACUAUAAACAGUCAUUUUAUAGCCAGUGCGAUGCUAUUGAAGUUUUAUUUAAAUCAAGUUAUAAAAUAAAAGGCAAAACUUA